rnacentral:lncRNA from 1 species
AAUUCUUGCCUUUUCUCAUCCUUUUUCCAUUGAAAAACUCAAUUUUUUUAAUGUGUCAGGGUUCAGUAAGGCUUAUUGUGAGCCUGAUUCUUGAGGAAUUAGAUAACUAGUUUCUCUCCUGCUUAGUUUUAUUUAGGCCAUUUAACUGCAAACAUGUUGAAAUUUUAGUAUGUUUAUUUUUAUAGGCUGGCUCUUCCCAAGGGGCCUCUUCUGGGCUCUCUGUAGUUAAAGUUCUAAGUGCCAGUGAAGUGGCAGCUCUAUCGUCACCAGCAAGCUCUGCCCCUCAUACCGGAGGAAAGACAGGAAUGGAGGAAAACCGCAGGCUGGAGCACCAGAAGAAGCAAGAAAAAGCAAAUCGGAUUGUAGCAGAGGCCAUUGCUCGGGCCCGUGCCCGGGGUGAACAGAACAUACCUCGGGUUCUGAAUGAGGAUGAGUUGCCCAGUGUUCGGCCCGAGGAGGAAGGUGAGAAAAAACGCAGGAAAAAGAACAGUGGUGAGAGGCUGAAAGAGGAAAAACCAAAGAAGAGCAAAGCAUCUGGUUCCUCCAAGACUAAAGGCAAGAGCAAGUUGAACACCAUCACCCCUGUAGUGGGUAAGAAGAGAAAACGUAAUACCUCAUCUGAUAAUUCAGAUGUGGAAGUCAUGCCUGCACAAUCACCCCGAGAAGAUGAAGAAAGCAGCAUUCAGGUAAAAGGAUAUGUAAAGAAACUAGUACAGAUUAAGCAUCCCUAAUCUGAAAAUCUGAAAUCCAAACUCCUCCAGAAUCCAACAUGAUGCCACACAAGUCAAAAACAAUUCCACAUCUGACCUCAUAAUAAUAUUGCAUAAAAUUACCUAUAGGCUGUGUACAUAAGGUGUAUGUGAAAUAUAAAUGAAUUUCAUGUUUGGACACUUCUGGUCCCAAGGAUUUCAGAUAAGGGAUACUCAGCCUGUAGAAAAAUCAUUUAAUUUUGGCUGACAAGCCAGAACCCAAAGUAGGCCUAAAAGGUUAAUGGCUCUGGUCAGUAUCUUCUAAAUUUUUUUCUUUUUAGUCAAAAAGUAUAUUACUGUAAAAAUAGCAGUACUUACUUUCUAAAAUACCAGUGUUUCAGAAACUGAACAAUUUUUACAAAAUUAUAGUGCAUGAUUGCUGUAAUGGCUAUAUCAGUACUUUGCUUUCUUUUAGAACUGUCCAGCUGUCCCCUUUGCCUUACCUUUUCUACACAUCAGGGUUCUGACUAAAUUUUUGGAGGCUUAGGGACAAAAUUUUUUCCUGCCUUGAAGAUGAAAGCCAUUUGGAAAGACCAAAAGAACCCAGGCUAGAAGAACUUUAAUCUCUUCUCUGAUUUAUUGCUUUAUAGUGUCAUCUUUGGCUGCAUUUUCCAAAUUAGAAACUACCUUGUAUUGAAGUUCAGGAGCUGGGCAUGGUGGCACACACCUGUAAUCCCAGCACUUGGGAGGCUGAGCCAAGAGGGUUGCUAUGAGUUCCAGGCCAGCCUGGGCUACAUAGUGAGUUCAAGGCCAGCUUGAACUGCAAAGCAAGAUCCUGACUCAAAAAAAAGAAAUAAAUGAAAUUUAUAAGAUUGAUGGGGUGGGCUUCAAAGUAUCUUUGUGUUCCUCAGCUAGUCUCAAUUCCUCAUUAGUAAAUGAAGGUUUGGGCUACAUUAUUCCUCAUUAGUAAAUGAAGGUUUGGGCUACAUUAAUCUUAAGUGCUUCUCUAACUAUUAAUACUUAUAAAUGCCCCCUUUCUUUCUUAGUAUAUUCAAUACAUUGAUAAACUGAUACUUGGUUUCAUCUAGGGGCAGUUAACAUGUGAAAAGUCAGGACAUUUUUAUAAAGGAAAAUGGAGCACACACGAAAAAAGAACCCUAGACAAUUAUAGUACGUUAUGAAACAAUGAUUGCUAAGACUUUGAAAUUAAAGAAAUAACAGAUUAAUAAAAUAUUAUAGCACCUAAGAAUAGAUUUGUAAUGAGAAUUUAGUACAUGUAAUUAAAAUAACAUUGCAAGUCAAUAGGGAAAAACGUUACUCAAUAAGCUAUGUUAGGACAACCGGAUACCCAUUUCAGGGGGGAAAAAAACCUAGAUUUUUUGUUUUAACUCAUUAUGCCAAAACAAAUUUCAGUUUAAUUGACGGUCCAGAUAUAAAAACUGAAGUUACAGGCUGGGCACAGUGGGACACAUCUAUAAUUCUAGCUACCUGAGAGAUCGAGGCUGAGGUAAGACCCUGUGUCAAAGUAAAAAAAAAAAAAAAAAAAAAAAGAGUUGGGGACGUUGUUCAGCACAGAGGCUCUGGUUUGAUCCCCAGUACUGGGGGAAAAAAAACGCAACCUGACGUCAUGAUCUUUCUAUAAUGUAUGCAUAAAUGGUUUUGUAAUUAUCAACUGGAAUAGAUCUUUGUAAGGAAGAUAAUAUAAUUUAGAAACCUUAAGGGAAAAAUUGAUGCACUUGAUAUAAAAAUUAUGUAUGAUUUAAAUUCUAUAAUCAGCAAAAUGGUUAAGAACCGGAAUUUUGGGGUUCUUGUCCUAACUCUACCAUUUACUGAUAUUGUACUUUGAGCAAGACAUUUAAUCUUUUGAUGCCUCAAUUUCUUCAUUUGUAAAAUGCAGAUAAUCCCUACUAAGAAGGAUGGUUAUGAGGAUUAAAUGUAAGCAUUUAUAAAGUGCAUACGACAGUACUUAACUCACAAUAGCACGUACUAAGUAAUGUACAUAUUUUUAAAUAAGAUGAAGGAUUAAAUAAUGUGUAAAGUAGGAGGCAAAUUUUUGUAUUACUAGGAAUACAAAGAUCAGUAAAAUUUAGAAAGUGGUGUUUUAGUUUGUUAGGGCCACUAUAACAAAAUACCACAGAAGAGGUGACUUAUACUGCAGGUGCUUAUUUUCUUAAAGUUUUGAAGGCUAGAAAUUCAAUGUGAACAGGUCCACAGGCUUCCUUGACUUGCAGAUGGCCACCUUGCUGUGUCCUCACAUGGAUUUUCAUCUGUUGGUGCACAACCCUGAUACUUUUCUGUGUGUCCAAAUUUCCUCCUCUUAUGAGAACACCAAGCCAGGCACAGUAGGACACACCUAAAGUCCCAGUUACUUGAGGAGCUGAGACAGAAAACUCAGUGGAGCCCAGGAGUUUGGGACCAGCUUAGGCAACAUAGGAAGACUCUGUUUUAAAAAAGAAAAAAUGCCACCCAUUGGAUUAGAUCCUGCUCUAGUUGCUUCAUUUAUUACAUUUUUGAAGCUCUUAUGUUCAGAUACAGUACCAUUCUGAGGCACUGAAAGUUAGGGUUUCAACAUGAAUUUGGGGAGGAGAGGAGGCACAGUUCAGCACAUAACAAAUGGUAACACCAGUGUUGAAAAUGAAGUUAAGAAGCAGACACUUUUGCACAGUUGAUUGAAGUGAUAAUUGAAACAAUCUUUUUGGCAAGUCAAUAUAUACCAAAAUUAAAAAUG